rnacentral:lncRNA from 1 species
GCCGAUGCCUCAACUUCCAUUGCUCUGUUUGAGCUACUACCUCCUGCCUCGCCAUAGCUACAUCGCUUCUCUCCGGAGUAUCUUCUGCUGUGCUAUGCGUUGCGGAGGCGGCGGCCCGAAGCCGGUGCCGGUGCCGGCCCACCCUCGCUACGUCCCGAAGAGAGGGGCCGUGCUGAAGCGGGCCGUUCGCGCCGUGCUCCGCUUCUUUCUCUCCCCGAUGAGCCACGGGCCAGCGACGGCGAGCGCCGCCGCCGGCCAUGCGGCAAGUGACAGUGAUGGCGCGGCGGAGCAGGGCAACUAGGCUUUCGUCCAUCUAUCCAAUAGUAGUACGUUACACGGGCCAACCUUUUUUACCUGGGCCGUCCGCUAAUCAAGCUUCCGUAAGUCAGUUCCGUUGUCUUGGGCUCUUGGCUGCUUGUCCCUCCCUUUGUCGGUGCUGUGCAUAUGAUGCAUGUUUGCUUUUGAUAAUUUGGUGUUGUACGUGUUUAGUGAGCACUGAUGUGUUCCUCUGCUAUCUAAUACUGAUAUCAUUACAAGUUGCAAAGGAUAUUGCAGACAAUAGUUUCUGGCAUACAAAAUAGAGAAAAGCCACAGCCCACAGCCAACGAAUGUCACACUCAUGCUAACUCACAAGCCUUCGUGCCACUUGUAUUUUUAGCUAUUAAGAUUACAUUCGGUCGUUGAUGCUGCCACUAUAUAUUACUUCUAUGUUAGACCGGCAAACAACCUUAAAAAGGAAAAAAAAAUACAUGACAAUCAAUCUGAUGCAAACUUAACCCUCAGUCAAAUGUCCGCAGUGAUCUUCCUCAAAAAUACCUGCUGCAACCUGUGCUGCUUGUUUGCUGCAGCUAUCUCAGCCUUCCUGUUUAUCACAUUACAAUUGUUGAUCCGUUACUUUAUACUGUGUUUAUUUCAGCACACAAGUAGAGGUCAAUGCUAGAUGAGUAACUUGCGUAGGUUACCUCAUGAAAGCUGUGUUCCACCACAGAUGAGCUUCUGCCAGUGAAGCAAUCGCAACAUCUGCUUGAACUGACUACCCUUCGACUUUCUUGAACCUCUUUGGGAAAAGUUCGCGCCCUUGGAGAAGAACCUCUUGGUGCAUUUGUUCCCAUAUCGCUCCAAACUGGCUCUGAUAUUUCUCCUGGAUCCACGCCUGGAUCUCAGGAUAAAGAAAAUCUGGAUCAAUCUUCCAUGCCUCUCUUAACGCUGCCCGGCUGUCUAUUAAUUUUCGACCAAUCUUCAGCCUGCUAAGAAGAUCUCCGACUCUUCUUUGGCUGGGAGGCCCCAGGACAGCAGAUGGCGACAUAGCUAGGAGCUUCUGGACCACCCUUAGACAUGGCAAGACAUCCCCUUUCAGCAAAGCCCAUGCAAAUACCUGCAACCGGCUGGUUGCGUCUUUGAUGGGUAAACUGUGCAAUGGAAGCUGCCAAUUAUGCCGAGAAAAGAUGGGACUAACAUAACAGUAGACCUGGUCAUUUUGAGGCUCGUAAUAGGGUUUUGGGUCCUCCAAUGGUGCUGAGAAGGUGCAGAGAGAGCUAGCAUACUUCAAAAUCCACCCUGGCUUUACACUGGUCACACCAUGCAUGUAUGAUCGCUUUGUAUUAAGUAGUUCAGAGUAAACUACAAACUCUGGUGGAAUUUGCGCAACAGAAGAUGAUCGGUGGAGAUAUAUUGUAUCAUUGAGGGCGCAAGAUUGAUAGCGGGUAGCUCGAACCUUUCGAUCUUCUUUUGACAAUCCAGCAAAGGUCUGAAUCUUCUUUGCAACCCUGUCGGCCCACCCAGCACAUAUUCCUUGCCCUAAAAGUUCCUCCUCGUUCAGCAUUGGUUUUUUGUCGGAUUCCGUCCUCCAGGCCUGCUCAACAUCCUCAGAACCACCAAAAUUCCAAGCAAAUUCCUCACAAACUUUGCUAUGGUUAACAAUUAAUCGAAGAAGCUGCUUUCUCAAUUUCGACAUCUCUUCCAUUGUUUUGAGAUGAAGUGAGUGGACUCUGCAGAAUGCCGCUGGGUUUUCUGAUGACUCAAAUAAGCGCAAGGCAUGGGAAAUGGUUAAAGCAUCACUGCUACUGAUGGAAAAUCUUUCCCGCUCCUUUCGAACCACGGCUCUGAGCUUCUUCUGUAACUUCCUUUCAUCUCGAUCCUUGUGUUCUGGCUCAGGGUAGUCUUCUUUUGAUUCUCUACUAGCGUCGCCCCGAAUGAGCAAAGGAUUGGUAAAACUCAAAGCUGACGCAGCAGCAAUUGCAUAUCCCAAUAUGAAGUUAGAUCUGGCACAGCCUUGCCGACUCUUCAAAAUUUUAAUUAUUGUCAGAAGAAGACGAGAAUGUCGUGGGCUCAUGGGGUAUUGUGCCAUAGCCUUUCCCAUUGAUGUAAGUCUCCCCUGGCUGUCAAGUGCUUCCAAUGUAUUUAAGCAACGUUCAGCUUCAACCAAACUUUCCUUGUUAGGAGGUGUAGGGAACGGGAAGUUUGCAACCUGCAAUUAUCAUAUUUUGUAUGAAAAUUAGCACAAAAGGCAAUACAUCAGAAAAGAAGAUUAUUUAAAAGGUAACUAAAUAUUUAAGCACACCUUAUCGAUAGACAUAAACUUGAGCAUAAGCACAAUGCCCUCAACUGGCAUUUUCUUGAUCUCUGGCUCAGAGAAUUCAGGAAAUAAAUCAUCUUUACCGUAUGCUGCACCUGAGUAGAGACGGUAACAAUGCCCAGGGCCAGUUCUUCCAGCUCUCCCAGCGCGUUGGGAUGCUGAUGCCUUGCUUAUCCACUGGACUUCAUAACUUGCCAUCCCGGUAGCAUGAUCAUAGUUCUUAACCUUUUCUUUUCCAGUGUCGACUACAUAUUUUAUGCCAGGAAUUGUUAAAGAGGUUUCUGCAACAUUAGUUGCCACAACAACUAAUCUUUCCCCUUCAGGAAUAUCGCGAAAAACUCGAAGCUGCUGCGAAGCUGGUAGCAUUGCAUAAAGUGGUAAAACAUGAAGCCUAGCACGUGAAACAGAUGCAGGUUCUGUACAUUUACUUAAACAAGGAACAUAAGGAGUUGACUUUUCUGCAAUUGUAGCAUUGCUCGAUUCGUCAACACUUGCUGGUUCUCCUGACAUUCCUGAUAUCGCUUUAAAUGAUGCCUUCAAUACAGAUGAACACUCAGCACCUUUAAGAAAGGAUAAUACCGGUCCAUCCUCUUCCGUGGUUUCAUGUGCGGCAGAAUCCUCAUCAUCACUGUCAGUAUCCAUCUCACUCUCUGUUUCUCCGUCAGAAGAAUCGACAUUCAGCCCAGCAUUGGUCUCGUCUUCACCAUACGAAAAAAACAUGUCGUCUUGGUGCUCAGGUUCAUUUCUAUCAAUAUCAUAUGCCUCAAAAAUCUCCUUAUCCUCUAUUUCUGGUCUUGAAUCAUUCUUAUUACCAACCCUUUCAGGUUUCCUAUCAGUUAGCCGCUUGGAUGCUCUUUGCAGUUUCUUACAUAAAUCGUCCACUUCUCGUUGUCCA